rnacentral:rRNA from 1 species
GACGAACGCUGGCGGCGUGCCUAAUACAUGCAAGUUGAGCGCUGAAGGUUGGUACUUGUACCAACUGGAUGAGCAGCGAACGGGUGAGUAACGCGUGGGGAAUCUGCCUUUGAGCGGGGGACAACAUUUGGAAACGAAUGCUAAUACCGCAUAAAAACUUUAAACACAAGUUUUAAGUUUGAAAGAUGCAAUUGCAUCACUCAAAGAUGAUCCCGCGUUUUAUUAGCUAGUUGGUGAGGUAAAGGCCCACCAAGGCGAUGAUACAUAGCCGACCUGAGAGGGUGAUCGGCCAAAUUGGGACUGAGACACGGCCCAAAACCCUACGGGAGGCAGCAGUAGGGGAUCUUCGGCAAUGGACGAAAGUCUGACCGAGCAACGCCGCGUGAGUGAAGAAGGGUUUCGGAUCGUAAAACUCUGUUGGUAGAGAAGAACGUUGGUGAGAGUGGAAAGCUCAUCAAGUGACGGUAACUACACAGAAAGGGACGGCUAACUACGUG